AUUGAACGCUGGCGGCAGGCCUAACACAUGCAAGUCGAGCGGAUGAAGGGAGCUUGCUCCUGGAUUCAGCGGCGGACGGGUGAGUAAUGCCUAGGAAUCUGCCUGGUAGUGGGGGAUAACGUCCGGAAACGGGCGCUAAUACCGCAUACGUCCUGAGGGAGAAAGUGGGGGAUCUUCGGACCUCACGCUAUCAGAUGAGCCUAGGUCGGAUUAGCUAGUUGGUGGGGUAAAGGCCUACCAAGGCGACGAUCCGUAACUGGUCUGAGAGGAUGAUCAGUCACACUGGAACUGAGACACGGUCCAGACUACUACGGGAGGCAGCAGUGGGGAAUAUUGGACAAUGGGCGAAAGCCUGAUCCAGCCAUGCCGCGUGUGUGAAGAAGGUCUUCGGAUUGUAAAGCACUUUAAGUUGGGAGGAAGGGCAGUAAGUUAAUACCUUGCUGUUUUGACGUUACCAACAGAAUAAGCACCGGCUAACUUCGCG
rnacentral:rRNA from 1 species